rnacentral:rRNA from 1 species
CCUACGGGUGGCUGCAGUGGGGAAUAUUGGACAAUGGGGGCAACCCUGAUCCAGCCAUGCCGCGUGUGUGAAGAAGGCCCUCGGGUUGUAAAGCACUUUCAGUGAGGAAGAACGCCUGGUGGUUAAUACCCAUCAGGAAAGACAUCACUCACAGAAGAAGCACCGGCUAACUCCGUGCCAGCAGCCGCGGUAAUACGGAGGGUGCGAGCGUUAAUCGGAAUUACUGGGCGUAAAGCGCGCGUAGGUGGCUUGAUAAGCCGGUUGUGAAAGCCACGGGCUCAACCUGGGAACGGCAUCCGGAACUGUCAAGCUAGAGUGAAGGAGAGGAAGGUAGAAUUCCCGGUGUAGCGGUGAAAUGCGUAGAGAUCGGGAGGAAUACCAGUGGCGAAGGCGGCCUUCUGGACUGAUACUGACACUGAGGUGCGAAAGCGUGGGUAGCAAACAGGAUUAGAUACCCGAGUAGUC